UUGAAUGUUGCGUCAAAUGGGUGGUGUCGU
rnacentral:piRNA from 1 species